rnacentral:rRNA from 1 species
CCUACGGGAGGCAGCAGUCGGGAAUAUUGCACAAUGGAGGCAACUCUGAUCCAGUGACGCCGCGUGCAGGAAGAAGGCUUUCGGAUUGGAAAAUUGUUUAGACAGGGGAGAAACAAGACAGUAGCUGUAGAAUUAUCUCCGGCUAAUUACGUGCCAGCAGCCGCGGUAAUACGGAGGGAGCAAGCGUUAUCCGGAUUUAUUGGGUGGAAAGGGGGCGUAGACGGGUAUAUAAGUUAGGUGUGAAAUCCCUCGGCUCAACUGAGGAAUUGCAGCUAAAACUGUAAGUCUUGAGUGCGGGAGAGGAUGGUGGAAUUCCUGGUGUAGCGGUGAAAUGCGUAGAUAUUAUGAAGAACACCAGUGGCGAAGGCGAGUGUCUGGACCGUAACUGACGUUGAGGCACGAAAGUGUGGGGAGCAAACAGGAUUAGAUACCCGUGUAGUC